AGUGAACGCUGGCGGUAGGCCUAACACAUGCAAGUCGAACGGCAGCACAGUAAGAGCUUGCUCUUACGGGUGGCGAGUGGCGGACGGGUGAGGAAUACAUCGGAAUCUACUUUUUCGUGGGGGGUAACGUAGGGAAACUUACGCUAAUACCGCAUACGACCUACGGGUGAAAGCAUGGGAUCUUCGGACCUUGCGCGAUUGAAUGAGCCGAUGUCGGAUUAGCUAGUUGGCGGGGUAAAGGCCCACCAAGGCGACGAUCCGUAGCUGGUCUGAGAGGAUGAUCAGCCACACUGGAACUGAGACACGGUCCAGACUCCUACGGGAGGCAGCAGUGGGGAAUAUUGGACAAUGGGCGCAAGCCUGAUCCAGCCAUACCGCGUGGGUGAAGAAGGCCUUCGGGUUGUAAAGCCCUUUUGUUGGGAAAGAAAAGCAGCAGGUUAAUACCCCGCUGUUCUGACGGUGCCCAAAGAAUAAGCACCGGCUAACUUCGUG
rnacentral:rRNA from 1 species